rnacentral:rRNA from 1 species
UACGUAGGGUGCAAGCGUUAAUCGGAAUUACUGGGCGUAAAGGGUGUGUAGGCGGUUUUUUAAGUCUGAUGUGAAAUCCCCGGGCUCAACCUGGGAACUGCGUUGGAUACUGGAGAACUAGAGUACGUAAGAGGGGGGUGGAAUUCCAGGUGUAGCGGUGAAAUGCGUAGAUAUCUGGAGGAACACCGGUGGCGAAGGCGGCAUUCUGGACCGACAUUGACGCUGAGGAGCGAAAGCCAGGGGAGCAAACGGG